rnacentral:rRNA from 1 species
UGGUAAGGUGAUAUGAACCGUUAUAACCGGCGAUUUCCGAAUGGGGAAACCCAGUGUGACUCGUCACACUAUCAUUAACUGAAUCCAUAGGUUAAUGAGGCGAACCGGGGGAACUGAAACAUCUAAGUACCCCGAGGAAAAGAAAUCAACCGAGAUUCCCCCAGUAGCGGCGAGCGAACGGGGAGGAGCCCAGAGCCUGAAUCAGCAUGUGUGUUAGUGGAAGCGUCUGGAAAGGCGCGCGAUACAGGGUGACAGCCCCGUACACAAAAGCGCAUGUGCUGUGAGCUCGAUGAGUAGGGCGGGACACGUGGUAUCCUGUCUGAAUAUGGGGGGACCAUCCUCCAAGGCUAAAUACUCCUGACUGACCGAUAGUGAACCAGUACCGUGAGGGAAAGGCGAAAAGAACCCCGGCGAGGGGAGUGAAAAAGAACCUGAAACCGUGUACGUACAAGCAGUGGGAGCACAGGUUUACCUGUGUGACUGCGUACCUUUUGUAUAAUGGGUCAGCGACUUAUAUUCUGUAGCAAGGUUAACCGAAUAGGGGAGCCGGAGGGAAACCGAGUCUUAAUUGGGCGUUAAGUUGCAGGGUAUAGACCCGAAACCCGGUGAUCUAGCCAUGGGCAGG